ACAAAGAAAAGUAUUCGGUUACGCAGGGUAAAUUUUACGGAACGAAAACCUAUGUUUUAUAAUAACUUCACAAUAAAUAGUCAAAAGAAGAUGUGGUAUGAAUAUUGCCAAUGAGACAACUCUUCACAAGAGACCAAAUGAUGGAAAUUAACAACUUUAGGUCACGGUACAGCUUUCAACAAUGAGCAAAGCCCAUACCACAUAGUCGGCUAUAAACAUAAUAAAAGGCCACGAAAUGACAAAAUUAAUGUAAAACAACUCAAAUGAGAAAACUAAUUGCCUAAUUUAUGUACAAAAAAAUUAACGAAAAACAAAUAUAUGUAACACAGCAACAAACGACAACCACUGAAAUACAGGCUCCUGACUUGGAACAGACACUUACAUACAGAACCCUAACCCUAAGGGGGUGGGGGGUUAAACAUGUUAGCGGGAUCCCAACCCUACCCCUAACCUAGGACAGUGUAGCCUAGUCAAUUUAGCUCUAAAAUCACUCAACCUCCAACUAAUUGCAAC
rnacentral:lncRNA from 1 species